rnacentral:rRNA from 1 species
GACGAACCGAGCGAACGUUGUUCGGAAUUACUGGGCGUAAAGGGCUCGUAGGCGGCCAACUAAGUCAGACGUGAAAUCCCUCGGCUUAACCGGGGAACUGCAUCUGAUACUGGAUGGCCUGAGUUCGGGAGAGGGAUGCGGAAUUCCAGGUGUAGCGGUGAAAUGCGUAGAUAUCUGGAGGAACACCGGUGGCGAAGGCGGCAUCCUGGACCGACACUGACGCUGAGGAGCGAAAGCCAGGGGAGCAAACGGG